ACAGCAGUAGCGCGGUAAUACGUAGGUGGCAAGCGUUGUCCGGAAUUAUUGGGCGUAAAGGGCUCGCAGGCGGUUUCUUAAGUCUGAUGUGAAAGCCCCCGGCUCAACCGGGGAGGGUCAUUGGAAACUGGGAAACUUGAGUGCAGAAGAGGAGAGUGGAAUUCCACGUGUAGCGGUGAAAUGCGUAGAGAUGUGGAGGAACACCAGUGGCGAAGGCGACUCUCUGGUCUGUAACUGACGUUGAGGAGCGAAAGCGUGGGGAGCGAACAGGAUUAGAUACCCCAGUAGUCCCUGUCUCUUAUACA
rnacentral:rRNA from 1 species